rnacentral:tRNA from 1 species
CCGAUAGCUCAGUAGGUAGAGCAAGGGACUGAAAAUCCCUGUGUCGCCGGUUCGAUCCCGGCUUGGGC